UUUUUUUUUUUUUUUUUGGCCUUUGAAUUAAAUGCAAAGAAGAAACAGAGGGAUAAGAAAUUCAGCCGCAUGCAUCCUCUUCCUCUGUGUCCCAGCCCCCAAAACACACCACCCAGAGAGAGGAGAGCGCAUGCAUCCCCUUUCCCUGGCAAGUGUCCUCUCACUCAAAAGCUGUGCCCUUGGGACCCAGGCCACCUGCCACCUCCUCCAGCACAUACAGCCUGACAGUACAACAUCGUUUCAGUUACAAGCCCAGGUCUCCCUGACAGCCCUGACCUGACUUGGGGUCCUAAGAGCUGAGUUCUGACAAGCAAGGAGAGUUGGUGAUCAAGGGCAGCAGUGCAGCCAGCUCCAAGGACUCUGAUGCUUGGCAUCAGGCAUGCCAAGUCCCAGGAUGGCAGGGUGCAUCUUCUGCCUUUCAUCCAGCUGUUUUGACAUCUUGACACCCUCGCCAGAGGAGAUCCAUGUUUUACCCCUUGCCCUGACCAAGCUCUGAGAGAAGUUGAAAAAGUCACCAACUUGAUCUGUAGUUCUGCCCACCCACCUUGUGAAAUUAGGAAUAUCCAUGCAAGGGACUCUUUCCCUUCCUUGGAUCUGACUAAGCCCUCUGUUGUCCCAGGGGUCCUUCUCUAAGGCCAACGAGAUGGGACAGUGAGAAAGAAUCCCUGACAUUGGGUUCACCACCGUGGCUCUCACCCAGGAAAAUGGACUUCGGGAGCAGCUGAGCCUGCAGCUGACAGAUAACAGCUGUGGGGUGGCCCCAGCUCCUUCCCACUGGCAAAUUAGCACCUGCCAGACCUGCGUCAAAAUAGCCAAAGGACUCUGGAUCAUUGGAUGCAAGCUGACAUCUGCUUGAAGGGAAACUGAAAGGAGGAAAGUGGUGGGGUAGAAGACAGAAGAUAGGUCUCAAGAAAACUUCUCAAGAAAACUUCUGUCCUCUCUGUAUCCGUACAGUUCAAACAAACUUACCAAUGCCUGGGCUAACUACUGGAGUGGAGGUCCUGGGGGACAAAGCUAGACAGAGCUAUUAGGGUCUCAGUUUCCAUCUGCAUAAUGGAUGUACAAAGACAUCUCUCUCAUGGGGUUGUCGUGAGUAUUCACGCAGGGCCAGUCCCUGUAUGCACCAGUACCAAAGGACUCAUCCCAGUACACGACAGCUGUUACUACUGAAAGAAGUCAGGGAAGGAAGCAGGAGGAUGCCAUCAGUCCCAAGACUCAAGGGCAAGGAUGCUCUCAUGGAGUAAAAUAGGAGGUGUAAAGCCAAGAUUACGAAGAGCAGGACACCAAAGGAUCUGGUGAUAAUGUUCAAGUUGUACAUAACGAACAGUGUAAGGGAUUCCCUUUUAGUUACGGGUGGGUGGAGAUGCAUACCAGGUAUGCCCUUGGAACCCAGGCCACAAUCCACGGCCUCCAGCGCAUACAGCCUCACAGCCCAGACUCUCCAGAGUCUACUUUCAUUUUAGCAGGAUUUCUGCUUCUUCAACAAUUUUGUUUCGAAGCUCUUUGAAAUAAAUUUGAUUUCAGGUCAACUGGAUGAGAAGCACAGGGCCAAGCUACAUCCAGGUGAGACCUCAAAGGAUGCAGAGGAGCAUCCUUUCCUGCCAGGAUAUCACCGCCAUGGAGCGCACAACACUGGCUCUCAAUAUUGCUUUGCAAACGCCUGAGUGCAGAGAGGGGGUUCUCUUUUGACCACCUCUUUGGGCCACAAAUGUUUUCCCUCUUGAACCUCUCUAUUUUGCUGUCUAAAAAUUUCUUUGUUGUUUCUUGUGACCACAAACAUAAUCCAAACUAUUUUUAAAAAUCUAACUCUUACCAAAUACGCAAGGACACCAGCAACAACAAUUUGGCACUGAAUUUUUGUGUUCGUUUUACAAAGUAAAGAAAUAAGUUGAACCAUGAAGGUUUCUCUGUGGUUUGAGUUUUCAGUGAGCAAGUGAUCUUUGCCAUAUUUUCAUGCCAGCAAAUUUAGGUAGAAACCAACCCAUGUUCAUGGUAGUCAGCCAUGCCCCUGAGGAACACAUGGAUUGUCUCCAAUUUUGCACUCUCCCAGACACUCCUGAAGUAGACAUUUAUUUGGAAACUUGUAGAAAUGUUUCUUUAAUACAAAUUCUUAAAAAGUAGGAAUGCUGGUUAUAUUCAUAUAAUGGAAUAUUAUUCGGCCUUUAAAAGGAAGGAAAUUCUGACCUCUGGUACAACAUGGAUGGGCCUUGAGGACAUUGUGCUAAGCGAAAUAAACCAGUCACCAAAGGACAAAUACCAUAUGAUUCUACUUACAUGAGGUCAUAGUCAAUUCACGGAGACAAAGUAGAAGGGUGGCUUCCAGGGACUGUGGGUAAGGGGAAAUGGGACUGGUGUUCAGUGGCUACAGAGUUUCCACUUUGCAAGAUGAAAAAGUACUAGAGAUCUGUGGCACAACAAUGUGAACAUACUUAACACUACUGAACUGUAUACUUAAAAAUGAUUAAGAUGGUCAACUUUCUGUUAUUUGUAUUUUACCACAGGCAAAACUAACAAUAAAAAAGAGAAAAGGACUGACCAAAACAAAAAUUGGGAAUGCUGGAUCCAAGGGUGAGUCCAUUUUCAAUUUUAAUAGAUAUUGUUGAAGUGCCCUCAAGAAAAGCUAGACUGAUUUUUGUUCUCAUUACAGUGUGUGAGGGACUUCCUUGUCCACUUUUUCUCCAUCAUGAUUUGGUAACAGCGAAUGGGAGAGAAAGUGGGGAGAAACUGAUACACUUUACUUGAAGUAUAACAAAACAAUGUUUGUCUGCUCAGCUAUGUCCUGAUCCUCAAGAGUGGCCACAAAAUAAAUUGGGUUGCAGCUUUCUGCAGGGUAGGUACAGAUAUCUGUGAUGCCUCCAGAAACUCCAGUUAUUCUGGUUCUCUUCCCCCAUCCCACUCCCUAACCUUAAAAUGAUGACUCCAAAAAUCACAGACUGGCCUACAUAAUUCCCUUAAACAGCUGUCCUACAGAAUCACUAAAACUUGGGUUAAAAAUAGUCUCAGUCUCUAAAAGAAGGCUGGGUCCCUGGAACAAAGCCCUCGUAGAAAUGCUCCCACCUCCACAGAGGGAACACAAAAGCUGACCCACGUGGCCCCAGGGCUCCUCAUCAAGCCUGACCCUCUCUGCCACCGUGGAGAACAGAGAAGCUGCCUGAAAUCUUUUCACAUCCUUGGUCCAUCGAUGAAACAGAAGUCGGAAGGGAGGGAGAAUAAUGCAAUUACAACCAAGCUAUGCAUUUGUGCCAUUAUUUCCAUUUUAUAAAUUCCCAAAGGCGCUCAGAGAAUUUAAAAUGUAAGUAAGGUGUCUGAAUUCACAGUCAGUAUGAGAAGCCACAUUUUAAUCUUAGGUCUUCCUCCAGAGAUACUGUGAUGACAGUACCCUGUUCCCCAUUGCAGCCCAUCCCCUCAAAAUGUCCUAUCAGAUAUUCAGGUCACAUCAUCUAUAAGAGUAAAUUCUGAGUCUUAAACAGAGGACAUAAAGUUCUGAACAGGGUUAGAAUUCUGCAGCACCAGGAGGAAGGCUUCUAAACAACCCAUCUCAAGAACGCCUGGUACCUUGCUGAUGGCUUCUCCCUCCUCCUUAACGAGCAGAGAAAUGCAUUUUCCUGGGUGGCGGGUGGGAGUAAGGAUCAGCUGUCUGUUGUUGGCAGGCCUGAUUUCUCCGCUACCAAAAGGAAUUAAAGUCUAUCGGGUUACACAGAGUUUUCCAGGGAACUCUUCUUAAGUUUUGCACCAUUAUGGUGGUGGUUGUGGGAGGGGAAGAUGGUUCCUCAAGCACCCACCUGGGCUUUUGCUCUACAGUUAAAAUCUCUGAAGCAGAUUUAGAGUGACAAGAUCAGGGGAAGCCAGUCUCCAUUGUCUAGGAGAGAUAUUUGUGGCAGAAAGGAGAGCAAUUUCCUGCUGAAUUGAUUUACCAUCCUCUGAAUCAUGAACUUACAGAUGACCCGGGACACAGGUUUCUACAUGGUAUUGUAGACCUGGGACACAGCUACAUGGUAUUGAUCCAGGAACAUGUUUAAGGCAUCCCAGACGCCAGAUUAGGCUGCUGGAGAAGGCCACGGAGAAAUUUAUUAUUUUAUUUACUUUAUGUGUGUAUGAGAGAGGGAGGGAGCAUGGGAGAGAGAUGUUGGGCAUCGAGCAGAUUAUGAUGGUUAUGGCUGGAGAAUCUCUGAAAGCUGGCUUCUUGUCCUGCAAGGACCCUGAAGGAGAAAAAUGCAUAAGGAGAAAUGACCAAGAAGAGUAGCACAAUGUUGUUUCGUUAGCUACAUACCAUACCCCAGACCUGCAAUAAAAGUAUACAUCCAAGGCCCCCACCAAUCAUAUUUCAGUACCCAGGAGUCCCGUGCCCAAAUAGCCCUGAGCCACUGAUGUACUGGGCCCAAGCAGAGGCCAAGCAUGGCUGGUUGGGGAAGAGGGGGUGCAGCCAUGUAAUGAGUUUGGAUAUAUGGCUGAAAUGUUCACACACAUGCCAGGGAGGCUGUUCAUGGUAUAGGAUAAAGCCAAGGGUGGGAAGAGAAGGAGAGGGGAAAGGACACCAUGUUCUUAUCCCAGACCCCACAAAUGUUAGGAAUGGGCCUAUCCAUCUGUAACAGCCAGAAGUGUUGGCUGCCAGUGGCCCAGGGGAACCAGAACCCAGGAGUUCAGUGGAAAGAACCACGUAACAUUGGUAAAAGGGACCCACCCCUCCUGCAGGUUGUCCCCGCAAGCAAGUCUCAGCUGCUGGUGAAGGCCUGAACAACUAGGUAGUUGCCAAAGUGCACAUGGGAUGCAAAUGACAAAUACUUGGUUCUAGGGGUGGGUUCCAGGAUCCCUUCAGGGCACUAGGGUCCUAGGUACUAUGGUACUAGGAUCCCACUCAGGCCAUGAAUGAGGUGGACGAAGCCCUUUCUUCCAAUGCUGACUGUGUAAUACAUAGGAUCCAGUAGUUCUGCUCUGCCACCUACCUGCUCACUGACCUCAGAACACCCCUCGCUUCACACAUAUAUAAAUGAGUAGUUCUCAUUCUAUAUUUUGGAGAAUUGUUAAGAUUGAAAGGUCACAGAUGUGACAUGCCUAAGAGUACCGGACAUGCUGGAAGUCCUUGUUUUGCUGCAUAACAAACCACCCCAAAAUUCAGUAACUUAAAACAAUAAUAAUUUAUUAAUUCUCAUAAUUCUGGGGGUCAGAAAUUUGGGCAAGUCGCAGCAGGUGGUUUUCUGUUUCAUUUGGCCUUAGCUGGGGUCACUGACUCAGUCGCAUCUUGCUGUCACCUAAGCCGAAAUGUUCAGGAGGGCCUCACUCACGUGAAUGGUGCCUGGGGCUCCUCUGCGUGGCCUCUGCACAUGGCUAGCUCUGGCUUCUGCCCAGCCUGUUGGUCUCAGGGUAUUCGAAUUCUCACAUGGCAGCUGGAUUACCCCAAAAGUUCCAAGCCUCUCACAGGCCAGACUUGGAAAUGGCACAGUAUCACCUCAGCUGCAUUCUGUUGGCUGAAGCAAGUCCAGUUGUAGAGGAGAGAGACUCCACCUCUGGAUGGGCGAAGUGACAUAGAGAUGGGAAGGAACUGAUAGUGGCCAUCCUUGAAAUCUACCUAUCCCUCAACUUUUUUUCUUUUUGAGACAGGGUCUUGCUCUGUCAUCCAGGCUGGAGUACAAUGGCGCAAUCACGGCUCACUGCAGCCUCCACCUCCUGGGCUCAGGCAAUCCUUCAACCUCAGCCUCCCAAGUAGCUGGAACUAUAGGCGCAUGCCAUCACACACAGCUAGUUUUUUGUUUGGGGUGUGUGUGUGUGUGUGUGUUUUGAUAGAUAGGGUCUCACUAUGUUGCCCAGGCUAGUUCAACUCUUUGUUCAGUUAUGAAUUUGCAUUUGCUCUCUGUAUAUUUUCCAACUUUAUUUUUUUUUCAAGAAAGUAGCUAGGACUUUAGGCUCUCUUUGUUCAGGGGUGAGGCAGGGGCCAAGGGAUGUCAUGACCAAUAGGGACCUGCCCUUAUCCUCAUGGCAAUACAAUGGGGAGGUGAGAAAACUUCAGGGGGUGGCUCAAUUGUUCAUCUCCAGAGGCCAGACCAGAUACCUCACAGCUUCUAGUCUUGCCAAGCUUGACUUGGAGGGAGAAGAAUCACCCAUCUUCUCAGAUACCCUAUCAGCUGGGACAGGAACAGGUUAGCAGCAGCCAUGAUGAACUGAAGGAAAGAGGGCCUCCCUCAUUUUCCCCAUACCAGAUUGGCCUUCUAAUACUUCAGAGAUCCCAAGGAAGCAGAAAGGCCUAAUGACUUAGGCCACAUUUCCCACUAAAGCAAGAAUACGGUCCAGAGUAGGAUUUGAAUUAAUUUAAAUAAAAUAUGACAUUUCUUACAUGACUGAGAUUCCAUGUAUUAUACUGUUAGACCAUUAAACCCCAACAUUAUCAAAGCCAUACUGAAAUCAGAAGGAAACAGAGAAAGCUCAUAUCCAAUGCCAUUAACAUUUACAAAUAAAAUGGAAUGCCUCAUAUGUGUAUAUAAGGUGAAACCUGGAAGUUGCUUUGUUGAGAUUUGAGAUGAGAUAUUUACAGCCUUGGUCAUUUUCUUAGGCCACAGGAGCGAUCCUCCUAUCCAGGCCUGGACGGCUCUUUCUGAGAGCUCCAGAGUGCGAAGUACAAGCCCUGUCCAUCUGCCAGCCUCAUCCCUCUCACAUCUCCAUGAACUGGGAGCCCAUCUGGCAGCACUAGACUCAGCCCCUUGGGAGGAGCCCAGAAAAGCCUCUUUAACGUCACUAGAGAGAUUAAUAGCUGAUGCACUCUGGUCACCAGUGGGAGACCUUGGUGACAACCAGAACCUAUUAUGAACACUAGUAUUUCCCCUUUCCACACUACCUGAGAGCAGGUGCAACGUAAGCUUUAAGUCACACAGAGCUCAUGGCAGUUGGUGCUGGCCAGGAUGUCCAGCAUUUUGGGACUCAUUUUGGACUACAAGUGACCACUCCAGGGAACCAGAGGCAGGCUCCCCAGGAAAAGGUGAAUUACAGCAUCUUCGUCCCUAGGUUUGGGAGUAGUGCAGUGGAUGACUCUUGUAUGUAAACUCCAAUGCUCAGGGUAGUGAAGGUUGAGGGUGCUGAAGACAGUAAAACUGGCAACUGUGGGAGCAGUGCACGCUGUGCUGUGCCAUCCACUGGGAAUGACUCUGGGCAGCUGCUCUGUCCCGUUCUUGAAGGACAGAGGCCAAGCUGCUCCAGGUGGGUGACAGUAGAAUGCACACAAGUUUCCCUGCUGGGCCCCACUUUUCUAUAGGAAAACACUAUUGCCAAAAGAUGAGUGAGAGACUGAAGAGAAUGAGCUCUCUAAUGCCCAAGAGCUGGCACACUCUGCACUAGUAGGCAGGAGUGAUAGGCUCUGAGAAAGAAUUGCUGGCAUCUGCUGUUGACCUUGGCGCCUGAGUCCUUAGUGGAAAGGGUGCUAGUUAGAAUCAGAAAACCCAGGUCCAUGUAUCAGCCCUGCCCCAAACCAGCUCUGUGACCCAGGGCAAGUUGUAUCAUCUGGGCCUCAGUUUCCCCACCAGUGAUUUGGUAAAGUACUGAGGUGCUAGCACAGACCUUAGGAUGCUGCUAGCUCCCGUGUCAGUUUGUUCUUCCUGGAAGACUGGACUCUUGUUGCAGAGAGAAUGUGAGGAGAACAAGAGCUCUUGGUUAAUCAGGUAGGGGUGUGUGUGUGUGUGUGUAUAGAGAGAGAAUGUGAGGAGAACAAGAGGUCUUGGCUAAUCAGGCCAAAGGGUGAGUGUGUGUGUGUGUGUGUGUGUGUGUGUGUGUGUGUGUGUGUGUGUGUGUUGGUGGAAGGAGGGAACAGUCACCAGAGGUUUAUAGGGCCUUCUCCCUUUCCCCAGCAGGCCUCAAAGAACCC
rnacentral:lncRNA from 1 species